UGGGAAUGCAGCCUUCCAAGGUGACCCUGCAGGGUGGUAAUCAGAGGAAUAAAUAGACAUACCUGAUUAUCUUAAAUCCUUGGUUUUCCUAUUGAUGCUUUCUAUUAACUGGACCCAGUCAGAAACAAAAGACAAGAGAGUCAUUGAUGUGAUCUGCACAGUAGAUUGGCCAAAGGAGAAGAGAAAGGCAACUGAUUGAGAGGACUAAAAAACUUAUGAAGAAGCGGGUAUACUUCAGCCAGCAUGUCAAUUUCAUCCAUUUUUGUUUACGUUUUUAAAGCCAUCACAUACAUUUUGGCAGGCCUGAAUUAAUCAAGUGAACCCUUUAAAAGAAGGUGGUUCAGUUCCAGAGACAUGCUGUGUACUGCUGGCCUCAAGGAAGAGUUAUCUAGUUGCUGAGAGUGGCUUCCAGAAGACAGACAGGUAAUGAAUGGUGAUUUCAAU
rnacentral:lncRNA from 1 species